ACCGGAGGAGAGCGAGCUCAGUCCCAGGAGGAUGCUGAAGGCAAGGAGGCGGCUCUCGGGUGCUGUGCCAGGGCAGUGAUGGUGCUCCCAUGCAGGACUCCUCGGCUGCGGGGGAUCCUCUGCUCUCCGUGCUCAGCCGGCUGCGAGGCUUCCAAGUUUUGUUCAGUUAUUCCUGAGUUUGGAAGAUAAAGAGUAGGUAGACCAAGACAAUGACUCAGAGAUGGAUUAGAAGAACAAACUGGAUUGCUAAGUCUUUGGGGGAAGAAGACUGUAUGUUCCUGGGCUUGUAUAGAAACCAGGAGACGUGUGCCAUAAUUCCGUUUCAGAUACGGUUACACAAAGACUGUUUCAGGCGCUACUAGGCAAAGCCAACCAUGGGGUGGAGUGUGAUUAACCGGCUGGCACUCUGCACCUUACAGCAGGAGGAAACUGUGGAGGAAGGAGAAAGAAGAAGAGAAUUACUCAAUCUGAAAUAUCUGGCAGAACACAACAUUAAUCCAUCCCCAGGGUAAAAUAUCAUCCAAAUUUCACUUUUGCAUCUGAUGUGGAAGAGAGUGCGAGCAGCAUGGGGUCCUCCCGCCGCUUCACGACAUUGAAGGGAUUGUUAGCUCAAGACCAAAGCAGAGAAACGAGUGUCAUUUUUCAUUGCAAAUAUCACUUCCUUCACUAGUUUGUGGUUUUCAGGCCCUU
rnacentral:lncRNA from 1 species